UUGCUUGUGGCAAUGUCUGUUCUUCAUUCUUUUAGGAGCAGGAAGACAUCUAUGACAUGCUAUAGUAAAACAGGAGUUUUCAGAAGAGGUUGAGCGGUAGUGUAUUUUUCCUACAUUA
rnacentral:snoRNA from 1 species